rnacentral:lncRNA from 1 species
CACCAGGUGUCCCUGACUCAGUCAGGCUAGGUGGAGAUCCAUAGCAACCCCCUAGCAGCCACCAAUCAGCAUGAGACAGGGAAAUACCUGGGAUGCCAGAUGACCCUCCCAGUUUAUGGUGGUUGAUAACAUGUUGGGAAACCAUGUAGUUCAGCACGUACACCCCUCUUGGCUUAAACCAAUCAGUUCAAAUGAAUACCCCUUUUGUACUGACCAAUCACCCCUACCCAACUUGUUCCCGACAGUGAAUGUGCUAAUCAUGUUUUAGAGUUGUUAUCUGAUUUUCUCGCGGUGUGUGAUGAUUUGCUAACGGAUGCUAUGAUGUAUGUGAAGUCCCUGCCUUCUCCAAAGAAUGUAUAAAACUGCUGCAAACCCUGGGCUCGGGGCCUCUCAGCAUCACCAGUUGCUGUGUGUGGGCGUGGAGGACCGAGCUAGCUCGCAAUAAAUACCUCUUUUCUGCUUACAUCGAUCUUGGGUCUCUGGUGGUCUUUGGGGGUCCCGAAUUCGAGCAUAACAUAUGGGGGCUCGUCUGGGAUCCCCCUAAUAAGCCUACCCAGACACCCCGAUCGAGAGGUGAUGAAAACCUGGCCGGUAAGUAAAGGCAUUGCCGAUGUGUAAGAAAAUGUACUCUGGUUGCAUGCAGGUCCUGGUUUUGUGUUGUGAGGUCGGCAAAAGGUCCAGGUGGACGCACCGAAGGGCAGACGACGGGGUUUGUGGGAGACAUCCCCAGCCCCUUUCUGGGUUCUGAGUAGGUUGCCUGUAGUAAAGUAUUUUGUGAAGUAUUUGGUAAAGUAUUUUGUAGCUGACGGAUCCGCGGUCCACCUGAGCCUUUAGUUUCUGGGUAGCAAUCCACGACACGCUGCGAAUUCUGUGGCCGCGCUGCAAAUUUUGUGUUAUGUGUGUUUGUUUCUAUUGUCCUGUCUGUCUCCACCCCAACACCCUGGCAAGAUAACUAAUCUCCCAAUCUGCGGUCAUCAGACCCAAUCUGAAGGGGAUGCUCCCUCAAUCCGUUUGUCUGAAGGGAAGGCCCCAGUUGGCUUGGGGCCAGCACCCUCUUUCGUUUUUUUGACAAUCUGAAAAGGGAAUCUAUGUCUUUGUGUGUCUUUGUCUGUGUCUCUGUUAAGUGUGAUGGCAUUGUUUUACUUUGGACAGAUGCAGAGUCCCAAGUUCCAAUCUGCCUUAGAUGUGUGGAGGUAACUUUAGCUAAAUUUUAGCCUAAAUUGUCCCUAAUAUGCUUCUCCUGUAAGGGACCAAAAGUCAAUAGAACAGCUUUUCUGUUCUCACCUUUUACACCCCUUUUAGCUGUGUUUUAAAGAACUUUGAUAAACUUUACUCCCCUUUGUUAAGCAAGAUUAGGGAAGCAGUGUUUUCUUCCGUAGUUGGCUUGAGUGCACCCACUGCAGAGGGAAAUGCCUGCUGGGGAUCUAAGAACUUUGAUACCUCGCUUUUUCUUUUUCUCAAAACCCUGUCCUCAUUAUUAAAUUGGCAUUAGUUGGCUUCAAGAGCAGGAACCGAAUUUUCAGUCACAAAUUUUGGCACCCCAGAGGGGACUUUAGAGGAGUCCCCACUCUGCCUUCUUGGGGAAGCCUAGCACUCUUGAGACAAUUGCAAGCAGAGGAUGAACUUUUUUGGGAGCUGACUACUGAAAAGUUAGGAGAUAUGGAGAGUGCCUGGUGCCUGGGGUCGGACCAAACCAGAGGAACUAAUCCUGUAAGUAAAAGGACUGAGGGACUCCCAGCAGCUGCCAAAGCCAUUUUGCUUUGGGGAACUCCCUCUUCCUCACCUGCACUUUAAGGAUUACUCCACCUCUGUCUACUUAAAAAAGGGACAAUAAAUGCAGUAAUGUGUUGAUAUUAUAGAUUGUUUCUUGGGGAUGAUCUUGGCUGAAUGUGUAUCUAAAAGAUGAUUUUUUAUUGUAACAAUGUGGUAUCUGAAUGGGUUUCUAAAGCAUUGCACAAUCUUGCAGUUAAAAUUUGGGUUUAAGUAAUUGUGUAGUUUGUGAUUUCAGUUAGUUCAUGCUAGAAAACUUAAAUACUUAGGAUGGAAAAUUAAAGAACUCUACUUCCAAGUUGGCAAGUAACUCCCAAUCAUUUAGUUUUAUUUUUUUCAUCAAUUUUUGAACUGGGUAGCCUGAAAAGAUUUCACUAGGUGUACCAGUACAUUAACUUGGGCAAGGAUAAUAAAUUAUGAUAUGAUAUCUGUUCCCCUCAGUGCGUAAGAUUUAGGAAAAGAAAGUGUUGGAUUGGGACAUUGGUCUGGCUUAUUGAAAUGACAUUAAAUAGCAAC